rnacentral:rRNA from 1 species
UGGGGAAUAUUGCACAAUGGGCGCAAGCCUGAUGCAGCCAUGCCGCGUGUGUGAAGAAGGCCUUUGGGUUGUAAAGCACUUUCAGCGGGGAGGAAGGCGUUAAGGUUAAUAACCUUGGCGAUUGACGUUACCCGCAGAAGAAGCACCGGCUAACUCCGUGCCAGCAGCCGCGGUAAUACGGAGGGUGCAAGCGUUAAUCGGAAUUACUGGGCGUAAAGCGCACGCAGGCGGUCUGUCAAGUCGGAUGUGAAAUCCGCGGGCUCAACCUGGGAACUGCAUUCGAAACUGGCAGGCUAGAGUCUUGUAGAGGGGGGUAGAAUUCCAGGUGUAGCGGUGAAAUGCGUGGAGGUCUGGAGGAAUCCCGUUGGCGAAGGCGGCCCCCUGGACAAAGACUGACGCUCAGGUGCGAAAGCGUGGGGAGCAAACAGG